ACAUCGGUAGCACAGUGGUUAGUGCAGUCUGCCGUAAACAGAAAGACGCGGGUUCAGUUCCCGUCCGAUGUC
rfam:Nippostrongylus brasiliensis genome assembly, scaffold: NBR_scaffold0002828